GACGAAGGGGGCUAGCGUUGUUCGGAAUUACUGGGCGUAAAGCGAGUGUAGGCGGUUGUCCAAGUUGGAUGUGAAAGCCUUGAGCUCAACUCAAGAAAUGCAUUCAGGACUGGGCGACUAGAGGACCGGAGAGGAUAGUGGAAUUCCCAGUGUAGUGGUGAAAUACGUAGAUAUUGGGAAGAACACCAGUGGCGAAGGCGGCUAUCUGGACGGUUUCUGACACUAAGACUCGAAAGCGUGGGGAGCAAACAGG
rnacentral:rRNA from 1 species